rnacentral:rRNA from 1 species
GAUGAACGCUAGCGGAAGGCUUAAUACAUGCAAGUCGAGCGGUAGGUGGCUUCGGCCAUUGAGAGCGGCGCACGGGUGAGUAACGCGUACAUGACCUGCCUGUCAGAAGGGGAUAGCCCUGGGAAACUGGGAUUAAUACCCUAUGGUAUUGAUAUUAUGAAUGAUAUCAAUUAAAGUUGAGGCGCUGACAGAUGGAUGUGCGUCUGAUUAGCUAGUUGGUAGGGUAACGGCCUACCAAGGCGACGAUCAGUAGGGGGCUGAGAGCGU